UACGUAGGUGACAAGCGUUGUCCGGAUUUACUGGGCGUAAAGAGCGCGCAGGCGGUCGAUCAAGUCGAGUGUGAAAGCCCCCGGCUCAACUGGGGAGGGUCAUUCGAUACUGAUCGACUCGAAGGCAGGAGAGGGUAGUGGAAUUCCCGGUGUAGUGGUGAAAUGCGUAGAUAUUUGGAGGAACACCGAUGGCGAAGGCAGCCCCCUGGGUUAACACUGACGCUCAUGCACGAAAGCGUGGGGAGCAAACGGG
rnacentral:rRNA from 1 species